GUGCCAGCCGCCGCGGUAAUACCAGCACCCCGAGUGGUCGGGACGUUUAUUGGGCCUAAAGCAUCCGUAGCCGGUUCUACAAGUCUUCCGUUAAAUCCACCUGCUUAACAGAUGGGCUGCGGAAGAUACUAUAGAGCUAGGAGGCGGGAGAGGCAAGCGGUACUCGAUGGGUAGGGGUAAAAUCCGUUGAUCCAUUGAAGACCACCAGUGGCGAAGGCGGCUUGCCAGAACGCGCUCGACGGUGAGGGAUGAAAGCUGGGGGAGCAAACCGGAUUAGAUACCCUGGUAGUCCACGCCGUAAACGAUGAGGGCUAGUUGUCGGGCGGCAUGCCGUUCGGUGACGCAGUUAACGCAUUAAGCCCUCCGCCUGGGGAGUACGGUCGCAAGAUUAAAACUCAAAUGAAUUGGCGGGG
rnacentral:rRNA from 1 species